ACCUUUUAUUGCUCAGCAUAUGCCGUCUUGAUCUCCUAGGCUUUGGAAAUUUCACAACGUAUCUAGAGAGUUGAGAACAUGCAGUUGAAUACUUGGUAUUUUAUCACCCUAAAGGGAGUUGUGGCUACCCGUGAAUGUCGUUCUCGUUCUCAUGAUGCUACUGCCAUCCGAGUAGUGCUAAAUUCGUUUUAGAGGUUCUGCUCGCCAGGAACAGGGGACGUGAAUAAUAUGCAUGAAACAGAGAACAUGAAGAAGAAGAAAAUUCAUAUGGUGAAUGGUUUGUUGUUCUAUUCUAGCGGGAAACGGUAUUUAUAUUAACCGAUAAUACUUAUGGUAACUCUCCUUCAUUACAGGAACAUAAAGGAAGGAUCUUAGUUACUUUCAAGAUCAUCAGAUUUUGUGAUUUUAAGUACUUUUAUAUCUAAUUUAGACAUAAGAAAAUAUGCCUAUUUUUUUUAUUGCAGCUAAUCAAUAUCUUGAAAGUUGGAAAACAAUAGAGCUGCAAAAAAUUGUUUGUUGCUUUAAUUUAUUUAUCUGUAACCUGUUUACAAACAUUAUUUCAAAGAAGCUCUCUAAUCAGUUUUGAGUUUAA